UACGGAGGAUGCAAGCGUUAUCCGGAAUUAUUGGGCGUAAAGCGUCCGUAGGUGGUGGUUCAAGUCUGCUGUCAAAGACCGGGGCUUAACUUCGGAAAGGCAGUGGAAACUGAACAGCUAGAGUAUGGUAGGGGCAGAGGGAAUUCCUGGUGUAGCGGUGAAAUGCGUAGAUAUCAGGAAGAACAUCGGUGGCGAAGGCGCUCUGCUGGACCAUAACUGACACUCAGGGACGAAAGCUAGGGGAGCGAAUGGG
rnacentral:rRNA from 1 species